AAAGAGCUUGAAGAAUUAACUUCUGAAUCCAGCAAACCAAAAAAGUAGAGAAAAAAUAUGACACCGAUCUUCUAGCCUGAUUUCAGUAAGGAGUGGACUCAAAAUAUUCCAUAAUACAGAAUCAUUUUGAAGAUCAUGAUUCCUGUGACUUCCUUGGAGCCCAAGGUGGAGCGAUCCACCCUGGAGAAACCUCUUUUCAUCAGAGAGGUGUUCUACCCCUGGAUCUUCCAUUCCAAUCAGAUUCACCUGCAUGUUCUCUCCAGCACCAUGCCUUUGAGAGGGCACUUGUCCAACUUUUCUGAUUAAAGUGGAUGCACUACUGUAGAUAC